rnacentral:rRNA from 1 species
CGCGUGGGUAACCUGCCUUACACAGGGGGAUAACACUUAGAAAUAGGUGCUAAUACCGCAUGAGCGCACAGGACCGCAUGGUCGAGUGUGAAAAACUGAGGUGGUGUAAGAUGGACCCGCGUCUGAUUAGCUGGUUGGUGAGGUAACGGCCCACCAAGGCGACGAUCAGUAGCCGGCCUGAGAGGGUGGACGGCCACAUUGGGACUGAGACACGGCCCAAACUCCUACGGGAGGCAGCGGUGGGGGAUAUUGGACAAUGGGGGGAACCCUGAUCCAGCGACGCCGCGUGAGUGAAGAAGUAUCUCGGUAUGUAAAGCUCUAUCAGCAGGGAAGAAGAAAUGACGGUACCUGAGUAAGAAGCCCCGGCUAACUACGUGCCAGCAGCCGCGGUAAUACGUAGGGGGCAAGCGUUAUCCGGAAUUACUGGGUGUAAAGGGAGCGUAGACGGUGAUGUAACUCUGGAGUGAAAGGCGGGGGCCCAACCCCCGGACUGCUCUGGAAACUAUGUGACUGGAGUGCAGGAGAGGUGAGCGGAAUUCCUAGUGUAGCGGUGAAAUGCGUAGAUAUUAGGAGGAACACCUGUGGCGAAGGCGGCUCACUGGACUGUAACUGACGUU